GGAAGAUGAAGAAGUAGUUUUCCUCAUAACCCUUACUAGCCUUGUUCUUCACAUUCCAGUUGUAUUCACGAGCAAUCUUGUAGUCAUACCUGAGGAUGAGGGGAACAGGGUCAGCCCCAUUUAUUCCCUAAUGAGGGAAAAAGGGAGACACACUUUUCAAUCUCCAAAACCUAAUCCCAACCCACGUACACAUCAUCUGGUGCAUAGUCCAUCUCCUCUUCCUGGUCCCGCUUUCGUUUCUUCAAUGUCUCUUCCACAGGCAGAAAGUAGGCCACAAACUGGUUCCCUUCCUCAUCCAUCAUACCCCUGGUUGGCAGAAGAGGAGGAGCAGUGAUAAAUGAGGACAAAGGGCAAAGAGGAACAUGCCAAGGUUGAAAGCAGGGCCACUUACCUGAUCAUGGCCUGAGACAUCAUCUCCAAUGCAGCUGCACCACUGGUGUCCUUGGGGGCCGGGUCUGAGUCAAAGAUUACCUGAGCGCAUGGAUUAAUCCACAUCUGGGGGGUGGAGGGCAUCAGAGUUAGGAGUGAGAUGGGCAGAGAUGCCAGGCUAUCCCCCUCUGUCUCCUGUCCCAGAUCUGACCUUAAAGUCUGGGAAGACAGGCAUGACCUCCACUGGUGUCACUCGGGGCUUGCUAUAAUGCUGGGAGAUCUGGUAG